GAGUUUGAUCAUGGCUCAGGAUAAACGCUGGCGGCGUGCCUAACACAUGCAAGUCGAACGCUCUCUUACGCAAGUGAGAGGGAGUGGCGGACGGGUGAGUAACACAUGGGAAUCGACCCUUUCGUGAGGAAUACCACCGGGAAACCGGUGACAAUACCGCAUACGCUCUUGGCGGAGCAAAGCUCUCGGCAACGGGGGCGCGAGAGGACGAGCCUGUGCCUGAUUAGUUAGUUGGUGGGGUAAGAGCCUACCAAGACUGCGAUCAGUCGCUGGUCUGAGAGGAUGAUCAGCCACACUGGGAUUGAGAACGGCCCANACUCCUACGGGGGGCAGCAGUGAGGAAUCUUCGGCAAUGGGGGCAACCCUGACCGANCAACGCCGCGUGCAGGAUGACGGCCUUCGGGUUGUAAACUGCUUUUCUGAGGGACGAGCAAGGACGGUACCUCAGGAAGAAGCUCCGGCUAACUACGUGCCAGCAGCCGCGGUAAUACGUAGGGGGCCAGCGUUGUCCGGAGUUACUGGGCGUAAAGCGCACGCAGGCGGUCGUGCCAGUUCUGGCUGACAGUGCUCGGCUUAACUGAGUAAGGAGCCAGAAAACUACAGGACUGGAGGGCCCUCAGAGGGGACACAGAACUNCCGGNUGGAGCGNUGAAAUGCGUAGAGAUCCGGAAGAAUACNGAAGGUGAAGNCCGUGUCCUGGGAGGUACCUGACGCUCAGGUGCGAAAGCGAGGGGAGCGAACGGGAUUAGAUACCCCGGUAGUCCUCGCCGUAAACGAUGACCACUAGGCGUGGGAGGUAUCGACCCCUUCCGUGCCGGCGUUAACACACUAAGUGGUCCGCCUGGGGAGUACGGUCGCAAGAUUAAAACUCAAAGGAAUUGACGGGGACCCGCACAAGCAGCGGAGCGUGUGGUUUAAUUCGAUGCAACGCGAAGAACCUUACCAGGGUUUGACAUGUAGUCGCACCUCUCGUUAUGGAGAGUGCCCGCAAGGGACGGCUGCACAGGUGCUGCAUGGCUGUCGUCAGCUCGUGUCGUGAGAUGUUGGGUUAAGUCCCGCAACGAGCGCAACCCUCAUCCCAUGUUGCCAGCGAGUAAGGUCGGGCUCUCUUGGGAAACUGCCGGGGUAACUCGGAGGAAGGUGAGGAUGACGUCAAGUCAGCAUGGCCCUUACACCCUGGGCUACAAACAUGCUACAAUGGACGGUAGACAAAGGGAACCGAUCUCGCGAGAGGGGGGCAAUCCCAAAAAUCCGUUCUCAGUUCGGAUCGCAGGCUGCAACUCGCCUGCGUGAAGCCGGAAUCGCUAGUAACCGCUGGUCAGCUAAACAGCGGUGAAUACGUUCCCGGGCCUUGUACACACCGCCCGUCACGUCACUUGAGUUGUCUGCACCCGAAGUCGGUGGGGUAACCGCAAGGAGCCAGCCGCCGAAAGGUGUGGGGAGCGAGAGGGACCGAAGUCGUAACAAGGUUUAAUUACACUCUCUANCNGUNUCUCUNCNNGGGCNCUGAGNA
rnacentral:rRNA from 1 species